rnacentral:tRNA from 1 species
GCACCCGUAGCUCAACUGGAUAGAGCAUCUGACUACGGAUCAGAAGGUUGUGUGUUCGAAUCACGCCGGGUGCA